rnacentral:rRNA from 1 species
GACGAACGCUGGCGGCGUGCUUAACACAUGCAAGUCGAACGGAGAUUAUUAAUGAAGCUUGCGAUUUAAUAAUCUUAGUGGCGGACGGGUGAGUAACGCGUGGGCAACCUACCCAUAAGCGGGGGAGUAACAGUUGGAAACGACUGCUAAUACCGCAUAAGCUAUUGAGGUCGCAUGACCUAAAUAGUAAAGGUGGCGAAAGCUAUCACUUAUGGAUGGGCCCGCGUCUGAUUAGCUAGUUGGUGGGAUAGCAGCCUACCAAGGCAACGAUCAGUAGCCGGCCUGAGAGGGUGGACGGCCACACUGGGACUGAGACACGGCCCAGACUCCUACGGGAGGCAGCAGUGGGGAAUAUUGCGCAAUGGGGGAAACCCGUGACGCAGCGACGCCGCGUGAGCGAAGAAGGCCUUAGGGUCGUAAAGCUCUGUUGUAAGGGACGAAUGUUUAUCUGGCGAACAGUCAGAUAAAGUGACGGUACCUUACCAGCAAGCCCCGGCUAACU